ensembl:lncRNA
UCAACUAAUAUAGACUCCGCUUUUCCAUUUGCCUGAGGCAAAGGGCUGGUUUGCUACAAAUAAUACAAAGAAGAAAUGAGUUACUUGUCUUUGGACACUUUGUGACUCUGGUGAAGUUAAGUCUUUAAUUUUGGUUUUUAAUUAAGGCCAGACUGAAAUCAUUCUUGGGGGAAGCCACAAUAAAAAAUUUGUCCCCAGAGUCCCAAUGUUUUAAGACUUGUCCUUUAUGUGGCAUGCAUACAUCCCUUUAAGGAGUAUAUAUCCCUUCAUCUCUGAAAUGGAGGAAAUUUUAUAAUAAGUUGGUGUGGGAGAAAAAAACUGUAUUAUAAUCAGCCAAACUGAAUUCUGACCUCCUCUACUCCUCUACUCCUACUGGUGGUUCUGGGCAUGGUGUGUCACUUUGCUGUUUUCAUCUCACUCUGAAAGUGAAAGUGUGAAAGUGUUAGUCACUCCGUCACGUCCAGUUCCUUGCAACCCCAUGGUCCACAGCCCGCCAGAAUCCUCUGUCCAAGGAAUUCUCACUCUACUCAUCUAUUACAUAUGCUUGCCUUGAGCUAUUGGUUACCAAGUAUAACCAGAGAUCUGAAUGACCGCAUAAACAUGAGAGGGUUCUCCUAAAAGUUCAUUGUGUGCUUAAAAUGCUAUUGUUGGUAAUAAUGAGGUUGAGGUCAUCAUGGUGGUGAUCUUGUCAAAUCUCUUGUUGUUGUUGUUCAGUCAAGUUGUGUCCAACUCUUUGCAAUUCCAUGGACUGCAGCAUGCCACGCCUCCCUGUCCCUCACCAUCUCCAGGAGUUUGUCCAAGUUCAUGUCCAUUGGAUUCGUGAUGCCAUCCAAUGAUCUCAUCCUCUGUCACCCUUUUCUCCUUCUGUCUUCAAUCUUUCACAGCAUUAGGGUCUUUUCCAGUGAGUUGGCUAUUCGCAAUCAGGUGGCCAAAGUGUUGGAGCUUCAGCUUUAGCAUCAGUCCUUCUAAUGAGUAUUCAUGGUUGAUUUACUUUAGGAUGGACUGGUUUGAUCUCCUGACAGUCCAAGGGACUCUCAAGAGUCUUCCCUAGCACCAAAGUUCGAAAGCAUCAAUUUUUCGGUGCUCAGCCUUUUUUAUGGUCUGACUCCCACAUCCAUAUAUGACUACUGGAAAGACCAUAGCUUCGACUAUACAGAUCUUUUCUGGUAAAGUGACGUCUCUGCUUUUUAAUACGUUCUCUAGGUUUGUCAUAGCUUUUCUUCCAAGGAGCAAGCUUCUUUUAAUUUCAUGAGUGCAGUCACCAUCCUCAGUGAUUUUGGAGCCCACCCAAAAUAAAAUCUAUCACUGUUUCCACUUUUCCUCCAUCUAUUUGCCAUGAAGUGAUAGCACCAUUUAUUCUUAUUUAUAAUACCUUAUUUUCUCCUUGAGUGAUUGGUAAAUCUUCUCUAUAGACAACUGAGAAACGGCAUGAUGGGAGAAUCUUCUUGGGUCCAAACAUUUUUUAAGUUAUGUCUCACUUUUAGCAGAUCAUUCAAUGAGCUUUAUUGUAAAAUUCAUAGAUAAGUAGUUUUAAGAAUUGUGUCUGCUUCUGAAACCCAGAUAUAGCAAGGAAACCAUCUGCCCCCUCCAUUACUUCUGGCCUCUCCCCAUUUCAAAGACCUCUCUCUUGAGCUCUAGUGAAAGUGAAAAGAAUUAGUCACUCAGGUGUGUCUGACUCUUUGCCAUCCCAUAACCCACCAGACUCCUCUUGUCCAUCAAAUUCAUCAGGCAAGAAUACUGGAGUGGGUUGCCAUUCUCUUUUCCAGGGAAUCUUCCCCACCCAGGGAUCAAACCUGGGUUUCCUGCAUUGCAGGCAGAUUCUUUACCCUAUGAGCCACCAGGGAAGCCCCCUCCAGCCAAAUUGAUCUGCAUUUCUUGCUUAACAUGGAAAUCUCCAGUGGCUCCAUGUUUCCAUCUACACCGAGUAGAAACUCUCCCGUCCAGCUUCCACUGUAGUCUGGGACCUGGGCACACACACUCUCCCGUCCGCCAUCUUAUUUUCUGUCCUCUUCUCUACUCUAGGGGCUCUUGCUUCUCCAGUGCUGAUUCCCACUUCUCUGCCUACCCCAACAUUGUUCCCCUGACCCAGAGUGCUUUUUCUUCUGCUUAAGAGAAGCCUGCCCAUUAUGGCACCCCACACCAGUACUCUUGCCUGGAAAAUCCCAUGGAUGGAGGAGCCUGGUGGGCUGCAGUCCGUGGGGUCGCUGAGAGUCGGACACGACUAAGCGACUUCACUUUCAUUUUUCACUUUCCUGCAUUGGAGAAGGAAAUGGCAACCCACUCCAGUGUUCUUGCCUGGAGAAUCCCAGGGACGGAGGACCCUGGUGGGCUGCCGUCUAUGGGGUCGCACAGAGUCGGACACAACUGAAGUGACU